GAGAGUUAGGAGGUGAUGAAUGGAGGUUGGGAAAUGAGCUGAGAAAUGUCUCAAACAGGUGGAUACCGCCUCUAUAUUUUUGUUUUGAAACUUCUUUGAUAUUGUGGUUUUGUAAGAACUAAUUAGAUCUCUUAAAAAUUCAGAGAAAAGGUUAUAUUCACGUAUAUGUGGUUCUGCCUUAUUGUUUGAACUUUUGGUUAUUUGGACUUGGCCUAUGAUCAAAUCAAACUUGUUAGAAAUACCGUUGGUUCUGGAAUUUUAUUUAAAUGUUAGAAUGAUUGAUAUAUGUUGUCUGACAAA
rnacentral:lncRNA from 1 species